CCUACGGGAGGCAGCAGUGGGGAAUAUUGCACAAUGGGCGAAAGCCUGAUGCAGCAACGCCGCGGGAGCGAUGAAGGUUUUCGGAUCGUAAAGCUCUGUCGCAUGGGAAGAUAAUGACGGUACCAUGUGAGGAAGCCCCGGCUAACUACGUGCCAGCAGCCGCGGUAAUA
rnacentral:rRNA from 1 species